UUGGAGAGCGCUGUGGCUUUGCUUCAGCAAGUCUCCUUCUCGAGAUCUCUCUUUGAGGACUGAGAGAGUAUUAGGGUUCACGUAGGUGAGGGCGAGGAGGAAGCUCUUUUGAGUUUUCUCCUUUCCUUUUACUGAUUUUACUAGAAAACAUACGUCCCUGUUUAGAAGCACUAUGACACCUGCCCUUGAGCCAGAGGUAGAGACCCACCUCCUUCGAGCUGCCCUGCAUGCCGUCUUCACCCUGGGCACACAGAAGGACACCACCCAAGAAGUCCAAGUAGAUCAUGCUAAAGUCAUGGAUUGAAGAGCCAGCUGUCAUCCUGCCAUGAAUCCUUGCUAAUUGCCUGCAGGGGGAUGUGAAUGAGAGAGGCCGAGAUAUGUGUUUGGGGUUCUGACCAGUGCUUCCCAGAGACCCCUUUUCCCAUCCUGUGGCAGGUGUAGCCCCACUUUCCCUAACUCUGACCCAUGGCUCUCCCUUGCUUUGCAGGAUCAAGCUAGGGUCUUGCCAGACCUCCUGGAUGCCAUGCCAGGGAACCUGCUGGCAGAGUCCCCAGGCACCGACAGGCUCCACUACAUCUUGGAGCACAUUAACUACUGGAUCGUGUCCAGCGUGUCACAGAAGAGAGCCAAGGCCAUUAGGAGCAGCACGGCCCUGCUCAGAUUCACCAUCACUUUCCCUGAGUUUGACAACUCAGCAGAAUUGCCCAGGCUGGGUCACCAUGUGGCACAGCUGGCUCUGUUCAUCAUUGACCUAGGCAAGGACCUCAGCCGGCAGGCCAGGGAGGGGGUUUACCGACUCUACCAGCUGCUGUUGCACUAGACGGGGCUGACCAUCCAUGACACAGAAGACCUGUGGUGGUGGGACAGGAGGCUCCUGGGCUACAGGAAGACAGCCAGGGUGCGGGAGGUCUUCGGAAAUUUCUUCUGGGAGGGGCAGAGCGGAUUCUUCCUCUGGAUAACAGUGUUGGCCGUCCUUGACCCCCUGCUAUGUGUCAGCCAGGCUGAGCUGCUCUUCACCUACUCCCUUCUGGGGGAAGCCCAGAAGCUGCUGGCAGACAAGGAGGACGUCAUGGUCAAAGUGAUGGGCCAGCUCCUCAUCAUCCGGCACUUGCGCCAGGUGCCUGAGGCACUGCAGGGGCUGUGCCUCUGAGGCCACCAGCAACUCCCGCCCACUCCCUGCUGCAGGCUCUGAAGAAGGCCUGCCCAGAGCUAUGGAUGCCAUGCUGAAGAGCUUGCUGACAGCAAUCCGCAGCACAGACAAUCUCCAGCACAUCUUGGAGGCUCUGUCCCAGCCUCUCACAGAGAUGUAUCCUGCAGCCAGCCCAGCUCAGGGAGCAGUGGGGACAGGUGAUCUCAUCCUGUCAAACCAAGCAACAUGGGUCUUAUUGAGGCUCAGAUGGAAGACCCAUUCAUCUCCUGGAGGAUGUGUCCAGGAUCCUGGAGAAUGUUUUCUGCAGGAGGUUUGAAUGGGGAGAGAUCACUCACAGUCAUGACCCAGAGAACCUAAGAAGUUCAGCCCCAGUUUGAGGCUCCACUCCUGAGGUUCUAGUGGAGGAGUCCCAGAGAAGCUCAUUGGCUCUGCUUAAGGCAGCAGCAGGAAAAGGAAGCUGACUGAACACCAGGGCUGCUCCCUGUUCUGGACCGUGUGCUGCCUCUUUCUGCUGCCGCUCCCCUGUCUUGAUUUCCUGGCAUCUGAUUUGUGGCUGUGAUUGCAAGUUUGUCUUGUGCUUCUGAUCUUCCAGUAUCGUGGCCCAGCUGGCUCUCAACUCCUGUCAUGGCUCACCAUCCAUCUUGGAGCUGAACACCAGAUGGGAGCUGAUUGAUUGUCCUUGGUGGGCCAUGUUCUUGUGUGUGAUGGAGCUGUGUGGCAGAGAGGGCCAGGAGAAGAUGCACCACACAUGGCCAGGACCGGGCUAAACAAUCUGUUAUGGUAGAGAGUCAGCCAGUGAGGCCAGUUUGCAGAAUGUGGAAGAGCUGUUUGGCGAUGGGUUGGAGGAUUCACCAUGUAGGUGGCAGCAGCUGCAGUGCCUGGGGUCCCCAUGGGCCAAGGCUCCACUCCUGUUGCACCAAUCUCCCACUGCUCUCAGGGGGCUUUGGCUUUAGCUGCUGGGCCUGCGUGCCUAGAGAGAGGACUCAGGUAUUUCCAUCAGGCUGCUCAAUGGCAAAUGCAGCCAUCCACAGAAUUGAAGAAGAAUGGAAGUGAAAGAGUAAAGCUGGCCCAUCCACUGAGCUGCUGCAAUCAAGUGAGCAGAGCUGGGGAGAGAAGAGGGAGAAUGUGAAGGUGGCUGGUGGCAUUAAGGGGGAAAAGCAGUU